UACGUAGGGGGCUAGCGUUGUCCGGAAUCAUUGGGCGUAAAGCGCGUGUAGGCGGCUCGGUAAGUCCGCUGUGAAAGUCGGGGGCUCAACCCUCGGAUGCCGGUGGAUACUGUCGGGCUAGAGUACGGAAGAGGCGAGUGGAAUUCCUGGUGUAGCGGUGAAAUGCGCAGAUAUCAGGAGGAAUACCGAUGGCGAAGGCAGGUCUCUGGGCUGACACUGACGCUCAUGCACGAAAGCGUGGGGAGCAAACAGG
rnacentral:rRNA from 1 species